rnacentral:rRNA from 1 species
GAUGAACGCUGGCGGCGUGCUUAACACAUGCAAGUCGAACGGAAAGGCUCCUGCUUGCAGGGGUACUCGAGUGGCGAACGGGUGAGUAACACGUGGGUGAUCUGCCCUGCACUUCGGGAUAAGCCUGGGAAACUGGGUCUAAUACCGGAUAGGACGAUGGUUUGGAUGCCAUUGUGGAAAGUUUUUCGGUGUGGGAUGAGCUCGCGGCCUAUCAGCUUGUUGGUGGGGUAAUGGCCUACCAAGGCGUCGACGGGUAGCCGGCCUGAGAGGGUGUACGGCCACAUUGGGACUGAGAUACGGCCCAGACUCCUACGGGAGGCAGCAGUGGGGAAUAUUGCACAAUGGGCGCAAGCCUGAUACAGCGACGCCGCGUGGGGGAUGACGGCCUUCGGGUUGUAAACUCCUUUCGCUAGGUACGAAGCGCAAGUGACGGUACCUGGAGAAGAAGCACCGGCUAACUACGUG